AGGAGAUUGUGUAUCAUCUAUUCAUUGUAUUUCUAUUCAUUGUAUUUCUAUUCAUUGUAUUUCUAUCUUCAACAUGCAAUACCAGAUUACAGCCCUGCCAUUAUUUGAAGGCAGCCAAUCCAAUAGUUUCUGAGAUCGGUAUUCAAAAAGUUUAGAAAAAGUAGUACUUUUUUUUGGGGGGGGGGGGGGACACCUGCAUUCAAAUCGUUUUUUUGUCACCUUUAAAGUAACUAUUUGCUGCACCGAGAAGAAAAAAAAGAAGUUGACUUUCCAGACAGUUAAAAGAAUAGUUCUCCCGGUGUCUGUGGUAGGGCGUGUUCUCUGAAGCACAGAGGACAUCUGGUGAUGUGCUGUUGGUGAGGAGGUGCAAAACACAAAAUGGCGAAUGGAAGAGGACGGAAACCACCUAAAAAGAAUCUCAUCAUCAUCAGAGGUUUGCCCGGAGUUGGAAAGAAGAGCCAUGCAAGAAAGCUCCUUGAUGAAUAUGGAAGACCAGACGUGGCUGGAGGGAUAUACUCUGCUUCCAACUACCAUGCUAUGUUCAACUGGAACAAGUUCCACUUCCCACGUAACCAUCAGUGGAAUAGACGGGAUGAAACUGUCGUGGUAAGAUCCCCAAGCAUAAGUUCAGGUACUGGGAGAAUUACUGGGAAGAAGCUGACGACAUCUGGGAUGUACUUGACGACGGCUCCUCCAUAGACCGCUGGCAGUAUGAAAGAGAGGAAUGGAUCCUCUAGUGAAGACACACCAGUACCUCCAUUUUGUGUGAACUACUGUUUUUAAUAUUUUUUUUUUUAGCUUUUUUCAAAACUACACUUUUAAAGAGUAUUGGUUACCUAGCAACCCCUAGAACCCAACAACAACUCAUACCUUACUGUUGUACUUGUCUUUCUUGCACUGACGCCUGUUUUGGUUGUGUCUGAGGCAUUUUUGGUAUAUCAUAUCGUUGAUCGUUGUUUUGGCACCACUCGAGUUAGAAGUUCAGAACGAGAAACUGUAAGCUAUAUAUAUAUAUAUAUAUAUUUAUAGAAGUAAUGGUCCUCAUAUUGAAAAAAAUAUCAGGAUUAGGGUUUUGGAUUUUUAUCAUCCUAAUCGAGGUGUAGAUUACAUCUCACAUUUCCAGUGUUCAAACAUGUUAACAAGUCUGCAUGGGAUUUUCGUCUCAAUGUGACUCUGUGCAGCCAAUGACAAUGUCCACUUCAGGUAUAAUCUCGGGAGCCACUUGCGGAUUUGACAGCUCUAACGCAGUUUCACCUUAACAAAAAAAAAAAAAUCUGAUUGAAUAGAGUCCUAAAUCGUUCUGGAUAAGUGCAUCUGCUAAACGUCAAAUGUAUAUGUUUACAUCGCCUGAUCCCAUAUCUGUUGCGGUCUCGCCAACUGCUAUUGGUCAUUGGUGUGACCGUAGGACCAUAGGAGUUGGCAAGAGCAUAGACUGCUCUGAGAUCAGGCUACAGUAGCCUACGCAUAAAUUGCAAGGCGUCACACUUUCGAAUGGUUUUCGUGUUGUAUGGUGCUUGAAACAACAGUUGUGGGUUUGAUUCCAACAUGGGUCACAUAUCGUUUUACUGUAUGCUUGAGAUAUGUUUCUUUAUACAGUAUUACAGAAACAGGACUGUGCUGUAGGCUACUAGAUUCAAGCAGAAGUGAUAGAAGUACAGAACUAUGUUUUCCGUAUUAUGUUAUUACCGUCCAACAGAUCUGCAGACUCCUAGUAGUCUAAAGUUAGUUCCUUCGUUUCUGACCGUUCAUAAAGUUUUUGCAUUUUUGUCGUUUUUAACAAUAACGUUUAAAUCUUUUUGAGGUUUUUUUUUCUACACUUUUCUAUAAAUUGGCAUCUAUAAUGUUGUGUUUUUGCUUUCAAUAUGCUUUGUUGCCAGCAAUAAAUAAUUUGAAAUAAUUUGCUUUAAAAUUGUCUCUCAUCAUCAUCAUCAUCAUAUCAUCGCUAGUGCAACAGGAGAGUUUCCUGGUUUCCUGGUUUCCUGGUUUCCUGGUGGGUUAAGUUGUUAGUAGCUAUUGGGUGACUCUACUUGACUCUACGGUCAUCGGAGCUCUCGGAUCCAAGGUACAAUGAGUUAUAACUGUUAUUACAAAGUUGUUGUAACGGUGAGCGACCUGUAAAUGGUGAGGAGAAAGCUGAUUGGGCACCUGAUCAUUUUCAGAGGGCUGCCUGGAUCAAGGAAGUCAGAUCGGGCAAGGUCAACUUUUUCAGAUCGCAGGACGAGGAUAAAGUCAUUUUUCUUGAUGAUAAUAAAAAAAUAAAAAUAAAAAUUGUACCAUUGUCAAAAGAAAAAAGGUUUAAAUAUACAAGGGGAAUUCAGG
rnacentral:lncRNA from 1 species